AGCGAACGCUGGCGGCAGGCUUAACACAUGCAAGUCGAGCGGGCAUCCUUGUGGUGUCAGCGGCAGACGGGUGAGUAACGCGUGGGAACGUGGCCUGCGGUUCGGAAUAACUCAGGGAAACUUGAGCUAAUACCGGAUACGCCCUCUUGGGGAAAGGUUUACUGCCGAAGGCUCGGCGCGUGUCUGCUUAGCUGGUUGGUGGGGUUAUGGCUCACCAAGGCGAGGGUCAGUAGCUGGUCUGUGAGGCUGAUACGCCACGCCGGGACUGAGGCCCAGCCCCGACUCGUACGCAGCGCAGCAGAAGGUGAUACUGGAGACGGGAGCCAACCCUGAUCACGCCGUGCCGCGGAAGUCAUGACGCGCUUAGGGUUGUGAAGCUGCUUUUUACGAAGCGAUAAUGACGGUACCGGAGGAAUAAGCCCCGGCUAACUUCGUG
rnacentral:rRNA from 1 species